AGUUUCUUCUCUAGUCUAAUUGCAUUGACGAGACUUUCCAAACCGGCCUCCUGGUCCUGCUGCUAACUUUAAUGGAAAUGUUUGUCUCGCUAUUAAGCACAAUUCAGGCUGACGCUUUGACAGAGGUAUUUGUUUUCUCCUAAAGGAAAUAUCUGAAAGGGAUGCUUUUGAAGAGCAUGUCAGGAAAGCCCAGGCUGGUUUGUGUGCCGGCAAGGGGCUGUUGGGCCCCCUCCCCGCGCUGGCCGCACCAGGCCCGGGAGCUAAGUUUCUCCCUGCGUUUCCGCUUGAACAGCAUCCAGCUGCAUCGCCUUUAAAAUGCCAGGGAGGCCACGGCUCCGCUCAGAGCCCCCUCUCGGCGGCCGGCCCGAGCUCGCGCGCGCCGCCGGGGCACUGACUCAGUCGCAGCCCAGUCGCUGCCCGCCGAGCCGGGCCUGGGCAGCGGCCCCCGCGUCCCCUGCGACCCGGCCGAGCCAGGGCCCCGCGAGCGCACGGGACGGCCCUCGCCAGACUCUUCACCUAUUAAAUGGAGAGCGGUGGACUAGAUCCGUGUUUCAAAGUAUGAUCCAAGGAGCCCAAGAAGGUCUAUGGAUGCCCAGAGUGGAAAAUGCACAGCACACCCAAGAUGGUCUUACUGCUGGAUAGGCUGCUGCCAGUACAGGUGUCUGCUCUCUGAGUGAAAGCCCACUGCUCUCAUUGGCUCCCAGCUGAUGUCUGGCUACCCCUCUCUCUCCUAGAGCAGCCCCAACCAGAGUGCCAGCCCACCCAGUGGCCCUUAUGAAGUGGUGACCACUCCCACCAGCAGGGGAUUCCACCAGACUAUUCCCAUUUCCCUCUUCACUUGCCAACAUGUGCUUCUUCAGAUCCAAGGAAUUGCCUUUCCCUGAAUGUCUGUCUCUGCCUGGCCUCCAUAAAUCCUUCUGGAGCAAGGCAUUGUAUAAACAAACAAACAAGUAAGUGGCUCUCACAGCAUCUCGGCUCCUUUCUCCUACCUUCUCUGGUUCAAACACCAAGAACACACGUGAAUUUCAUCUGCCCAAGUUAUCAGCCUGCUUUCUUCCAGGCCCUGGACAGCUGCUAAGUAUAGAAUGGCUUAGUUGGGGCCUACAUUACAGUGACAACAGAGAGCUCAAGCCACAGUUUUCUCCUCAGCCAUCCCAUCUCCUUCCUUCCUUUCCUCAAACCAAAACUUCAGAAAGUGCUUUCCCUCAAUCCAUAGAAGCAUGACUUACGGCCUGCAGUAGGUCUGUCAAGCACUGCAGAAACACUGGAAGCAAAACUAGCAAGAGAAUCAGAAGGCCUGAACUGCAUCCUGGCUUCAUCAGUGUGUGACUUUCAGCAAGUAACCUACCUUCUACCAACCGAAGCUUUUUACUCUAAAAUCAGGGCAAUGAUACCCUACCCAGGGGCCAUUGUGAGUAUAAAAUAAAAUAAUGGAAGUGGACAUGCCUACAACAUGGUUGGCCCCUAGCAGAUAUUCAGUAAAUAUUAGUCAAACUGGGAUUAGAAAGGGUAUGAUGAGGCUGCAGAAAUGGCAGGGGCAAAAUGGGUACUUAUUGAUUAAUUCUGGGUAUCCUUUGCUGCUGUCUUGAGCUCUGCCUACAUCUUCUCUACCAAAUCCACUUUGUUUAAUCAACCAACUAACAAUCACGCUGAGCACCCACUAUGUGACUGGCACACAGUCAGACUGCAGAGGGAUGUAAGGCCUGAAUCCUGCCCUCCAAAAGCUCUGUGAUAGGCUGAAUGAUGGCCCCCAAAGAUAUCAGGUCCUAACCCCUGAACCUGCGAAUGUGAUCUUAUAUGGUAAAGCUUCUGCAGAUGUGACCAAAUUAGGGAUCUUCAGAUGAGGAGAUGAUCUGGGUGGACCCUAAAUGCCAUCACAAGUGUGUCAUAAGAGAGAGGCAGAGGGGGAUUAGACAGACAGGAGGAGGAACAAUGUGAAGAUGGAGGCAGAGAUUGGCGUGAUGUGGCCACAAGUCAAAGAAUGCCAGCAGCCACCAGAAGGUGGAAGAGGCAAGGAAUGGAUUCUCCCCUAGAGCCUCUGGACGGAGUGUGGCCCUUCCCACACUGGAGUUCAGAUUUCUGCCCUCUAGAAUUGUGAGAGAAUAAAUUUCUGUUGUUUUAAGCCAGCAUGUUUGGGGUUACUUGUUACAUGCACCACAGGAAACCAAUGCAAGCCCUUAGUCAAGCAUGAAGACAGCCACGCAUACAAUUAACCAGGAUUCGGUGUUCUAAGUGAGUUGCUAGUGGAGAAGACAGGCAAACUGAUUCUACCUGAGUGACCAGAGAAGGCACUAUUUGGGCUGACCCAGAGUUAAGUCCAGAGGUAUGCAGGCAGCGGAGAAGGCAGGGUUAGGUACUAGAAUGAGGCUCAGUGGUAUGGCCGAAUCGGAUGAGGCAAGAGUGUGAGGCAACAGGGAGCCGUGAGAAGAUGUUGAGCAGAAAAGGAACAGCAGGAAAGCAGACCUGAAGGAUGAUUUUCCAGGUACCAUGAGCAGGAUGAUUGCAGGGGGCUGAGGCAAAAGCUGUUCUAACAAUCCAGGCAUGGUAGGAUGGUGGUGUGGAGCAGGCCAGCUGCACAGACAUGGGAGGAUGCUUUAAAAGGAUGCUCAGCAGGCUGUGCAGAUGGAAUAGGUCCAAGGUUCCACCCUGCACAGCAGAUAGUCAGUGGUACCAAGGGAGGGUCACGGAAGCAGGGGUGACAAUAAGACAUACAAGGGGAGAUUUGCGGUCAGCAGGGAGAGAGCAGGACAUGGAAUGUGAGUGCAGAGGACAGGUGCUCCCUUGCCCUUAGAGGGCAGACAGGUACCACUGAUUCAUACAGUUCAUGUAGGGACCCCCAUUAAGAGGGGCUCAAGAUUCUGGGCCUUCUAAAAAGUAGGGUCUAAAAACAGCAAUGACAAUAAAGAAAACAAUGGGCCAGCCCUGUGACACAGUGGUUGGGUUCAGUACGCUCCAACUUCAGCGGCCCAGGU